GAGUUUGAUCUUGGCUCAGGAUGAACGCUAGCGGCAGGCUUAAUACAUGCAAGUCGUGGGGCAGCAGGGGUAGCAAUACCCGCUGGCGACCGGCAAACGGGUGCGGAACACGUACGCAACCUUCCUUUAACUGGAGAAUAGCCCCUCGAAAGAGGGAUUAAUACUCCGUAAUAUGUACAUGUGGCAUCAUAAGUACAUUAUAGCUCCGGCGGUUAAAGAUGGGCGUGCGCCUGAUUAGAUAGUUGGCGGGGUAACGGCCCACCAAGUCUGCGAUCAGUAACUGGUGUGAGAGCACGACCAGUCACACGGGCACUGAGACACGGGCCCGACUCCUACGGGAGCAGCAGUAAGGAUAUGGUCAAUGGACGCAAGUCUGAACCAGCCAUGCCGCGUGGAGGAUUAAGGCCCUCUGGGUUGUAAACUCCUUUUAUCUGGGAAGAAAUGCCAGUUUCUAAUUGGUUUGACGGUACCAGAGGAAUAAGCACCGGCUAACUCCGUGCCAGCCGCCGCUGU
rnacentral:rRNA from 1 species